GAUGAAGAACGUAGCGAAAUGCGAUACGUAAUGUGAAUUGCAGAAUUCAGUGAAUCAUCGAGUCUUUGAACGCACAUUGCGCCCCCUGGUAUUCCGGGGGGCAUGGCUGUCCGAGCGUCAUUGCUGCCCUCAAGCACGGCUUGUGUGUUGGGCCUCCGUCCUCCUCCCGGGGGACGGGCCCGAAAGGCAGCGGCGGCACCGCGUCCGGUCCUCGAGCGUAUGGGGCUUCGUCACCCGCUCUUGUAGGCCCGGCCGGCGCUUGCCGACACAUCAAUCUUUUUUCCAGGUUGACCUCGGAUCAGGUAGGGAUACCCGCUGAACUUAAGCAUAUCAAUAAGCGGAGGA
rnacentral:misc_RNA from 1 species